AAAAAACAUUCAUGGAUGGGAAGAGAGAGUAGCCAGCUGUAUUCUAUCCACCUACGGGAAGGACAUGCCAGAAUUCGUCUAGGGUUCGUACCCUUGAGGCAGACACUUGAGACCUCCUCACCAAGUUACCCCCUGUGAACACCUAGCCAGGAAAAAGGAUCCUGCCCCUGAACUAUGACUUCUCCCCAGAAAGGAGCCGCCAUCCCUGGCAUGGGUUUGUUGCCCUUUGUGGUCACAGAAUGGCUGCGGGAGUUCCAGCCAUCAUGUCCCUGUUCCAGGAAGAAAGAAGGGAAAGGUUAAAGGGCAGAAGAGGAUUUCCUAGAAGCUUCACCCAAGAUCUUCCAUUUAAUCUCCUUUUAAAAACUGUGUAAGAGGCCCACAUGGCAUUGCUGAGUGGCUGGGAAAUUUAGCUUUUUAGCAGGACACAUUGCUUCCUUGAAUUGAAUCUGGGUUCGGUUAUAAGGAAGAAAGGAAGAACGAUUAUUAACUUGGUCUUUCUCAAUCCCUGCCGCAAGAUACUAGCCCAGAAGAGAAGACAAAGGCCAUUAAUAGCCAGCAAGAGAAAAGGACUCAACACCCAGGACUUUGUUUACUCCCCAGCAGGUGCCAGUGUGCCCUGGUGAUGAGUUAUGGGCCAAGCAUCUGGGAGAAGCUACUGGCUCCUCAUGAACCCCUGGUUUCGGCUGGCACCCUGCCUCCUGAGUGAUUUCCACAUGGUCGCUCUGCCCCAUAUCUGAUCCAUCAAGCUUGGCACUCUGAAUAUCUCCACCUCUCCCUCUCUAGGACAACAAGGCGUUGCACAAUGGGAAACUAUGCGAAUGAAAUUGCUUUAUUUCUUGAUUUUAAAGCAUUUGACUUGUUGAUUUUAAAAGUGACCUACAAAAGAGCACAGCUUAACAAAAUGAAAUGGAUCUCUUCUCUCUGGCUUUAGAUAGAUUUAUUUCACACUGGCACCAGACAGAUCAGAAGCCGUAGGGUGGAGACUGAGGUGGAGUGGAGAACACAGCCGGCAUUCUUUCCAGGAAGCGGUUGGAGCCAAACCCCAUGGGAGAAUUGAUCUGAUCCAACUUUUAACUAAUUGAUGAAUUGCUGUCGAUGGUCCAUUCAUUAAAACGCAC
rnacentral:lncRNA from 1 species